UAAGGAAACGAAGCCGGCCGCCGUCUUUCGAAUCUUCACGCCACCGUCGUCGUGCACUCCUUGACCUCCUCCUCCACAACCGCCUCUCCCCACCGCCCUUCUCCUCUAUAAAUAGCCGGCCAUCCCUCCCCUUCUCUACCUACAAAUGGAGCUUCAUCUCUCUCUUUCUCUCCCAUGUCCGGCCAUGACUGCCCCCGGCCGAUCUCCCUCAUUGGAGCUUCGCAAGCCAAACCCUUGCGCCACCAACUCCGCCUCGCCGAGGUGAUUCCAUUUUUCCCGUUUUCCCCUUUUCUUCCACCCCAUAGCAGCCACCAUCGCCACUUCUUUUAGUGGCCGGAGCAAGUUCUUGCAGCUGCCGUUCCAGCCAUCCCUCUCUCUCCCUCCGCCAGCCACCACCCUCUCCGGAUGCACGGUGCUCGGGAACACCAUGCGCCGCCGGCGUCGCCGCCCUCCAGCCGCCGGAAAACCGGCACCCCUCCUCCCCUUCCUCUCUGUUCAACCGAAGGAGAGAACGAAGAGACGGGAAGAAGAAGAAGAAAAGAAAAAGAAAGAGAAGAAGAUAAAAGACUGACGGAUUUGGGUCAAGAGGAAGACCCCUAUGACUAUUAUUAUGAUGACCCUGAUAGCUUAGAAAAUCCCUAGAGGUUAUACCUUCCUAGUCAGAAUGUACUAGAACUUCCGCUGUGUAAUAUUAGUACUUAUGUUUAAUUAGGUGAGUACCUAUUCUUGUAAAACCCUUAGAAUUGUAAACUUUAACAUAUGCAAUGAAGAACCAGCUGUAUUACAUGUAUCAAUAUUUACUGAUCCAGGCAUUGAUACAUUAAUCUCAGUCGGAUCCAAGUUAUUAGUUUUGGGACCCGACACGUAUGGCCCACCCUUAUUCACAAAGUAGGUAGUAAACAUCGGUGAUGCCUAAUAACUAAUUCAAUCUUUCUCUUUAAUACAAGCAAUUAUGAUAGAUCGGACCCAACCGAGACAGUAUUAAUUGCUGGCAACAAAGAUCAGAUAAUUUAAAAAUUAUAUGGAUUCACACAAAAAGCCGAUGAGAUUGCUUAGGUUACGGGUAAAUAAUGUAUCGGCUAAAGCUCUGGUACAAUCUUAUGCAAAAAUAUCAUACAUAGUUAAAUCUAUUAAACAAACCAUAUUCUUAGCAGAUUGUACUUAAUCAAGACAGAGCAAAACCAAUAGCCAACUUAAUAGAUAUCAAGGUGUGAUACAAUUGCAUAAGAGGAUAUAUGUAACAUAUUAGGUAAAGAAAGAACAUGCAAACUUAAACCUAAAAUACCUAUAUCAUGUAAGAUCAGCUGAAACUCCGAUGCAACCCCUAUCAGCAAUUAUCGAGCAAGUUAGUUCUUACAACUUUGACUAUAACUUAGUAUAUCAAACCUAACUGAUGCAACACCAAGCUAUAUUAAAAAUUGAUAGAUCUGAACAAACUGAUAUUUGCUAUUCAGGGUGGUAGAUACAUUAACUAAUCUAAAACAACACUAUAAUUUAAUAUAAUAUCGAUAUUCCCAAAUUUAAAUCAACCAACACACGUUAAACAAUAUUAUCAACUUUAGAUUACCUAAUGUAUAUGAUAAAUAAUUGCUAUAUCAACUGGAAGUCGAAUCCAUCUGAAGUAAACAGUAGCCCCGACGAUGUCACACCCUGAUAAAUACAUCCCAACUUAAAAAUCACUUUCUAAAAGGAACAAAGGAAAUUAUUAAAAGCUUAAAAGAAAUCUCAAACACUAAGAGCAUCUCCAACAGCCUCUCUACUCAACUCUCGAAGCCAAAAAUUUGGCAAAUAAGCCAAAAACACUAUUUGACUCUGCAAGCCAUCAAGCCUAUCCAUUGGCCAACUUUGGCUAGUCUCCCAGGCUGGCUAUUCUCCUCUUCAGCUCUUCCUCUACUCAUGCUUUUCCUCUCCAUCGCCGAGCCACCACCACGCCAAUCACCCGCACCUCCACCACGCUCCCUUCUGGCCCCGCCGGAAAGCCCAAGUCGCAGCCGUCGUUGUCGUGGUGCAUGAGUGGGCGGCUCGCCGCCGAGGAAGAUGAGCGGCAGCGGCAGCUCGGCGACGAGGAGGGGCGACUCAUCGACGAGGAGGAGCGGUGGCGGCGGCUCGGCUCCUCGGACCUACGGUGGAUGGGCACACGACAACGACGACGAGGAGUGGUGCGGCAGCUCGGCUCCUCGGACCUGCGGUGGACGGGCGCACCACGACGACGAGGAGGAGCGAUGGUGGCGGCUCGGCUCCUCGGGCCUGCGGUGGAUAGGCACACGCGGCGGAUCCGGCGUCGGGAGCGGCGCGCGUCGCGAAUCCGGCGCCGGGCAAGCCCGCACGCAUGGCGACGGAUCGGCGGCGGAGAGAAGCCUCCGUGCUCCCGUCCCCCUUUCUCUGUCUCGCAUCUCCAGCGAUGGCGGAACCUCGUCGUCUCCUCACCGCCGCCGCCGACGUUGCCGUGUCCGCCGCAUCUCUAGCGCCGUCGGUCGCCUCGUCCCCGCACGGCAGCCCCCUCCGUCGACCACCUCCGUCAGCCACCUCGUCCGCACGCCGUGGGCUCACGUGGAAAAGGGGAAGAUAGAGGGAAGGGAAAAAGAAAUUAGAGACUGACAUGUGGGACCCAUCAAGAUUGGAGAGUGGGAUAGAGAGAUUGUUGGAGUAAAAGGCAAAUAUGACUCUCUAAUUUUUUGGCCAUUGGCUAAAUGGACAUUUGGAGAGUCCAAAAUAGCUAAUCUGUUAGAGAUGCUCUAAAAUACGUCCCAGAAAAAUCCGAAAGUGGCUUGGAGUAUUUUUGUUAAAUUCUCCAUGCUCUAAAAUUGGUUCCUCAAUUUUUACUUGAAUUUUUAAAGCAAACAAAAUAAUUUUAAAGCAAAAAAAACCAAAUUCGGAGUAAAUUUAAAUGAAAAACCUAAAAAUAAAUCUCUCCUCUUUGGGCCAUUUACGGCCCAAAGUCUGUUUUCCCUCCCCGCUGGCCCGCUCGGCCUUUCUCUCCCUCCCUCCCUCCCUCCCUUUUGGGUCAAUCUCCCUCUCCCAGCCCGUUCUUUUCUCCAAGCCAACCCACUUCCUCUCCUCUCUCUCCAUCGGACCUAAGUCCGUCCUCGACGCGGCCUAGCCAGCCCAACUGUAGGUCGUCCCCUACCUCUAGCGGCUGACUGCUCCUCUCUCUCUCUCUCUCUCUCUCUCUCUCUCUCCUCCGUUCGGAACCCUAGCGCCGCCGCCGAGUUGAUCCACCUCCUCGCACGAUUCUCCACCAAAUUGAUCAGAAAAGUCGGUUCCUUUCCUCCUCUUUAUUUUUGCCAUAAUUUCCCACUCAAUUGUGUACAAACUCACCUUGAAUCGAUGACUUUUCAUCUCCGGCGAACUACCGGCAUUGAUGGCCGGCCAGUGAGCUCCCCCGGCCGUUCCACUCCUCCCCUGCCUAUAAAUGGGCAGCAACACCUCCCCUCCCCUUUGAAAGAGAAUCUAUGCCCCUAGUGGGUUUUGGUUAAUUGAUGACAAACGAUUAGGGGAUUAAUGCGCUUAUUGAAUGUAUAAGCAAGGGAUUAGUCUGAUGAAGAACCAAUGAAGAUUACGAAGAAGAAUAUGCAAUACAACGAUGUUUCAUUGUGAUUCAAGGCUAGAAGUGACGAAAGAUGGCAAGAUGAUGUGACCAUGCCUACCAGUGAUACAACCAUUGCUCACAUCAUUGAUCAACAAGAAGUCAUCAAGGUCAAGUCCUCCAAGUGCUGGAAUCCGAUUCGGCCACCUGCUGCACUGUUGACUUCAAAGGGCCGCCAAAGCUGCAUAGGACCUCUGUUUUUGGCCCUUGAGUACUUGACGGAAAGCUCUCGGAGUCCUAUUUCCAAUAGAACCAGCCACAUCUCCGAAUUCCAGUUCGUUUGGCUGCAAUCACACAAACAAGGUUCUGCGUCACCUAUAUUGGGCCAAUGGGCUUGUAACUUUAUUUGGGACCCCGGCCCAAGUGGGGCCCAUGUGGGGUGCGCCCCAACCAGGUGGAUCACGACCCUAGGGCCCCAUAGGUCGUCCUCCCACCUCCUUAAAUAGUUAGGUACCCCUUCAUGGUUUCUGGGGUUUUGUUAGAUUAAAGUUUAGCCAUUGCUACUUGCUGGCAGCGUGCGUGUCGGCUAGACCGUCCGUCUGCUUGUUCUUCGGAACCCCAACUUAUCUUAUGUAUUCAUUCCUUUUUUUUACGAGGAAAGAGUGAUUAUAUUAAAACUUAAGGAGGUUUACAAUCACGAUCCAGAAGCUCAGACACACACCGAGGAGCUUUGAACCGCCAGACUACACACUCUUUCGACCUAAGAGCCAGCUGUGCUAGCUUAUGAGCAACACAAUUUCCUCCUCUAUGAACUUUCUCAAUCUUGCACUGGGGAAGUAGCUGUAACUUUGCUUUGGCCUCCUUUAAAAUCGUCCACAGACGACAUCUCUCUGAAUCCAGCCCCCUCAUCGCUUGAACUAUAUUGGCACAAUCAGUUUCCAGUACAAUCGGGAGGUUAAUCCAUUUUAGCGCUAGGUGUAUACCCUCCAGACAGGAAUAGGCUUCAGCCUCCUCCGCCUAACUGCAGUGCCUGAUGAUCCUCCAGGCCGAGAGCAGGACCUGACUGCCAUGAUCUCGAAUAACAACACCCAGGCUGGCUUCCCCGGUCUGCUGAACAAAAGCUCCAUCCGUAUUCACUUUCGCCCAGUUUACCUGCGGCUUUGCCCAACUAUUUGGUUGACAAAUGAUUUCAGUUUGCACCCUUCUACCUUCCUGCUUGGAUACUUAGCUCUUCCCGUUCUGGUUUCCUUCAUCCUCAUGUUUAAUUUGCUCGGAGUGUCAAAACAGCAAAGCCCCAAAGUUUGCAGUCCCAAUUUUACAAUUUUCUCAACACUGGGGGAUUUGCAAUUAUGACACUGCAAACAUUAAGCUUUGCUAUAAUGACACUGGACCCAUAUUUCAUAGACACAGAUGGGCCCAUUUAUCAUCCACUCGGAGUGUCAAAACAGCAAAGCCCCAAAGUUUGCAGUCCCAAUUUUGCAAUUUUCUCAACACUGGGGGAUUUGCAAUUAUGACACUGCAAACAUUAAGCUUUGCUAUAAUGACACUGGACCCAUAUUUCAUAGACACAGAUGGGCCCAUUUAUCAUCCACUCGGAGUGUCAAAACAGCGAAGCCCCAAAGUUUGCAGUCCCAAUUUUGCAAUUUUCUCCUCAACGGUUGCCUAUCCUGUGCCAAACAAGAUGUCGUUUCGGUGGAACCAAGCUCUCCAUAACAUGAGCAAGAAACAAGCUCUAACAUCCUGAGUUAAGCCUUGAAGGAUCAACAAAAGCCAAUCAGGGCCCGUGCGUGCCAGCAAGUAUUAUGCUGGCAGCUUCCAACAGGAACGAAGAGACUCCCUCAGAGCUCUCGCCCUCAUACAUGAGAUGACAGCAUGAAACUCAUCCUCUACUUCCAUACCACAAAUACGAUAGGUAGCAUCAACUUCCAGGUUUCGGGAGCAUCUAUUUCGUAUAGUAGCAAGACCCUUGUUAGCUAGCCUCCAAGCGAAAAUCUUGAUCUUAUGGGGCACCGGUGUUUUCGAGAUGGAGCCCCAAAUACUGCGCUCACCAUUUGCAGCCGAGCUGGAAGAACCAAGAUUAGAAUCAAGCCUAGCAUGCAGCACCAACUUGUAAGCACUUUGAAUAGAGAAGAGACCUGACUUUUCAUAAUGCCACGCAAGAAAAUCCUGUCUGAUAUUGAGGCAGUUUAAUUUUGAGAAUUUCUAUGGCAUCAAAAGGAUUGCAUAUUCGCCAGAUCAGAUCCGCAUCCCAGGAACGAUCAUCUUGCUUUAUUAACUGGGAAACCCAACGAAGGCGACACCUUCCAGCAACACCAGCUAACAUAAGCGAGGAUUCACUCGGUAUCCACCGAUCAUGCCAGAUUCUUACUUUUGUCCCAUCUCCAAUACGCCAAAUCAGACCUUUCUUCAGCAAUUGAAGACCAUAUUCCAGGCUCUUCCAAGUCACCGAUGAGUCACCCAGGAAAACAGCAUCUAUUAACUCACUGUUAGGGAAAUAUUUAGCCUUCAACAACCUGGCGCAUAAGCUAUCCGGAAACUGAAUCAGGCGCCAAGCUUGCCUGGCUAGGAGAGCUUGGUUGAAAAGCCUCAUAUCCCGAAAACCCAAGCCUCCCAUGAAUUUAGGCAGAAUUAGCUGUUCCCAAGCGAUCCAAUGCACUUUCCGUUUAUUGGUCUCAUCACCCCACCAAAAAUCCCUGAUCAUUUUGGUAUAAUGUCGGCUCCCAAAACUAAUGAUUCAGAAACCGACAUGUUUAGACUGUAUCAAGCCCUGGAUCAGUAGAUUGAUACAAGUUCAAUAAUCUGGAUCGUCUUUGCAUACGUCUAGGCAUAGCUUUGAAGGAGAUAUUAUUAUAUGAAGUAAUAGGGUAUUUACAAGAUUGUGUCUAACUAUUACAGCAGAAGCUUUAGAAUGGACUACCUCUGCUGUUUUGCUAUAGACUUAAACUAUCUAUCUAAUCUAUAAUUGAGAAUUAAGUUAGAAUGAAACUAACUUAUAUGAUUGAACUCCCAGCAUCGAUAAGAAGGACUCUGAAAAAAAGGGGUUGAAGCAAGGGUGAGUACAACGUACUCAGCAAGCUAUUAUAUCAAAUAUGAAUGUAUGAAAUAUUAUCUGAGUGGAGCUAGGUUUAAUUGCAGAAAGCUGAGAAAGUGGAAGGAGAAAGCUUGUAAUGUUUUAAAUGCAACAGUAUUUAAUAAAAUUUCGAAUUAGGUUUCUAUCCAAGAUGCCAUAGUGAGUCCAUAUGCCCGAUAACUGUAACAGCCCUAGGUUCAUAACCAGGUAUUUAGAAGUGUAUUUGUUGUCCUUUAGAUUUUAUAUUUACUAUGUUUGCAAUUUGAUCAUAGGCGAUAACAAAAUUAACUCUAAUCGGUAAAAUUGAAACCACUUCUAUUUGAACAAUAACUUGAACAGAAGUGUACAUGUGCAAUAAUUUAUUCAAAUACUAGUUUAUUUAUCACCAACAAAUAUAAAUUUUGUGGAAUUUUUACUCUCUGUUUUGGCCUCCUAAAAAUUCAAACUAACUUUCAGCCUAACCAAUUUCAUCUUUUCACCAGAAUUAAAAAAUUUUGAUUUUUUGAGUGAAACUUUGAAAAAUGGAAACUAGGUGUCCAGGUCUAUCUCCACACCAAAGGAUAAAAUUCUAUCACUAUUAUUUCUUGAACUAACUGAGUGUCAUAUUGGAAGAGGUGUAAAAUUACUGAAAAUUCCUGAAAUCUGCCCAAAUUCUUGUUCCACCUCUAUUCUAGCCCUUACUUCUUAGACCACCACGACUUGGGCCCACUUGUCACUGACCUUGGGUGCCUUUUUAGCCCAAAACCCACCCUUGGGCGUUCUCCCCACCUCAGGACAUAAGGUGGGCAGAGGAAAACCCCUUCUUCUUCCUCCCCUAUUGUUCUUUCUUUUCCUCAUCAAGCUGAGGUCCCAGCUCACUUCUCCUCCCCAAAUCCCAUCUAAGAACCCAAACUCAAGCUCUGCAUGUUAGACCACAACAAUCCCCAUCAUCCAAGCUUUCCAUCCAUCCCAACAUCUUGCACAUGCAUGGAGAGUUGAGAGAGAUCGAGAAGGAAUAAAAGAGUGGUGGUUUCAGCCUGCAGGGCUGCAGCAGCAGCAUUUUGUUUUCCUCCAUUUGGUUGUCCACUCCAUUGCUGCAGCUAGAAGGUGGCUGCAACUCACCCCGAGUUCAUCUCUUUUGGUUUCGGUUGAAACAGCCCUAGGCAACGUCUCUUGCCGUCAGCCCAAGACCUUGCUCCAUCUCUUGCCAUCAGCCCGAGGCCUUAGUCUCUCACGACCCUACGUCCAGGUUGCUGCCAUGUGAGCGAAGUCCGGUGGAAGUUGGAGAAAAGGGGAGUGAAAAUAGAAAUCGAUUUCUGAGAUAGCUAUUGAGCUGAAAGAGGUAUGCGCUUUAAAAAUUCAUAAUUAAUUCAUAUGAACUCCGAAUUCAGUGAACCAAAUUUCUGUGGAUUAAGAAAAACGUGAUAUUCAAGAAAACGUGAUAUUCAAUGUUGUAAAAUAAAAAUGACCAACUUUUGUACUUGUUUUCCCAGUAAAAAUAUAAAUAGCUAUAUGUAUCCCUUGUGUGGUCUAGCUCUUAAUAAAUUCGUAAGAAAUUAUUGGUAAAAGCUAAAAUUGUGAAACCAAUUUUGUUGAGCUUAUAUUUUAGUACUCUUUGCUGUUGUGGUGUUGUUUUUGGCAAAACUACCUCUUAAAUCAUGUUUAGGAGUUUAUUUAGCAUUCCUAUGUUUUUAAGUUGUAAAACCCAUAUAUAAAUAAUGACAACAUACAGCUGUGAAAUAUUUUUUCUUAGGACCUGUGAGUGAUAUACUUUACUCUAAAAAUAAUCAUUAUUAUGAAAGCUUGGUUUGAGUUGCAAGUUGCUUGAAAUGCUCUAAAGGAAACAUUAAUAUUUACAGAACUGCCAUUUUCAGCACUUGAGAGCUUGUCAUUUUCAUAUCUCCCAAACCAUAAGUGAUAAUCUGGUGAUUCAUUCACCUAAAUUCAAGUUAAAAUAUGAUCUACCUACUGUAUUUAUUUCAUAAUUUAUUGAUCAUUUUGCAUGUGCAUGUUUAUUUGGCUCUUAUUCGCAUAUUGCUUCUUUUUGAUAUAUUCGGAGAUUCCGGAGAGAAACGAGCCAUAUCCCGAGGAGGAUAGUGACUACCCUCAGCAGCAAG